rnacentral:rRNA from 1 species
AGCGAACGCUGGCGGCAGGCCUAACACAUGCAAGUCGAACGAAGUCUUCGGACUUAGUGGCGGACGGGUGAGUAACACGUGGGAACGUGCCUUUAGGUUCGGAAUAACUCAGGGAAACUUGUGCUAAUACCGAAUGUGCCCCUCGGGGGAAAGAUUUAUCGCCUUUAGAGCGGCCCGCGUCUGAUUAGCUAGUUGGUGAGGUAAAGGCUCACCAAGGCGACGAUCAGUAGCUGGUCUGAGAGGAUGAGCAGCCACAUUGGGACUGAGACACGGCCCAAACUCCUACGGGAGGCAGCAGUGGGAAAUCUUGCGAAAUGGGCGAAAGCCUGACGCAGCCAGGCCGCGUGAAUGAUGAAGGUCUUAGGAUUGUAAAAUUCUUUCACCGGGGACGAUAAUGACGGUACCCGGAGAAGAAGCCCCGGCUAACUUCGUGCCAGCCGCCGCCGUAAGAC